rnacentral:tRNA from 1 species
GCCGAUGUAGCUCAGUUGGUAGAGCGCGUGAUUUGUAAUCUCGAAGUCGUGGGUUCAAAUCCCUCCGUCGGCU